rnacentral:lncRNA from 1 species
UGGAGACGUCAAACGGGCGAUGAUACUGAUGGCUUUAAGACGAUGAAAGAUUGUUUGAGGUAAUACUUAUGUGGUUGGGAGCUGAAGGAAGAUCUACACUUGAAAAAGCUCACGGGUAAUGGUACCUGUUACUUCUUAUUCUCGAUAGAUUAAUUACAAGUAUUUCAGAUGUGCUGUAAAAGAAGAAUUGUGUUGUGCUUAAGUUGGAUAAUAUGAA